GAGAGGGGGCGGGGCGGGGGUGGGGCCAGAGGAGCUGGGGGCGGGGAUCGGGCAGAGGCCGCUGGGGGGCGCGCAGGCAGGGGGAGGGACCAGCUGGGCCGGGGGCGGGGCAUGGGGAGAUGGACCCUCCCUGAGGGUGGGGGCGGGGAUCGAUCGGGCAGAGGCCGCUGGAUGGGGCGCAGGCAGGGGGAGGGACCAGGUGGGCUGGGGGCGGGGCAUGGGGAGAUGGACCCUCCCUGAGGGCAGGGGCGGGGGGGUGGGGGAUGUGCUCCUUCGCUCCCCCUUCCCAGUAACCUCCUGCGGCGCUUCCUCCAGCCCCGGCCUCCUUCCAGCAGCACCUACUCCCAGAUCGAUGCCCGGGAGCCGGCGCGAGACCCCGGGGCGGGCUGGGCAGGGAAGGGGGAAGCCACGGAAAGCUGCCACGCGCACGCGCGCCCGGGGCUCCGGCGUGCGAACCCUGGGCCCGGAACCUGGCGCGUGCCGCUGCAGCCGUCGCUGCCACCUUCGUCCUCGCCCGCGCUGCAAUAAAAGCAGCCGACUUGAAGCCCCGCUGCAGACUCCGCGCGCCUAACCGGCUGGCCAAUCACGCGCCGUCUCGCCUCCUUGUCCCCGCCCCAUCGCCCUGCAGCGGGCCUCGCGCUGCCCGCCUUUCCCGCGCUUCGCAAUCUCUGCCCUGGAUUGGACGGAAGCCCGGCAGGCUCCGCCCCUCCCGCAGUCCUCCAGCCUCUCGGAUCUCUCACUGAGCAGAGCUGACUCGCGAUGCUCCGCCCUCAGUCAGCUGACCCACGCCCCACCGUCACGAGGCGCUUUUUCCCAGCUUUUUAGGGAGCCCCGCCUCCCUUCCCCCACAGACUCCGCCUCCCCCCGCCCAACAAUUCCCCGAGACUCCCAGUGUUUGCGCUUCCUCGGCUUAUCAACUGUCAACCGUCAACUGUCAGCCUUCAGCUGUUAACGUCCCGGGGGGAGGGGCUUCGGAAAGAACAUGUCACCACCCCCUUUCCGCCCUCCUGCGCCCCACUGCUCCCACCCCCUCGCUUUCUCCCGGCCUCCAGGGCCUCCAUCACGAGCGAAAAGCGCUCAGAGGCCAGAGUCCCUCGUUUUCCACGCGGGGAAACUGAGGCACGAAGCAUUUUACCCGCAUUUCCCUCCCCCCCCCCCCCCCCCCCCCCCCCCCCCCCCCCCCCCAGCCCCAGAAGGCCAUCGUGGCCCAGCCCUGGUGGAGCAAACCAUCCAGAAGAAUGAAAGGGCUGCCCGGGGUGGAUGGAGGUCUUCCUGUGGGAAAGAUGGGGAAAUCGCGGCAAAGAAAAUUGACUUUAAAUUAAAGGACCCUCAACGAAUGAAAUAUCCAGUGUUUACUGAUGCGCAAAGCCUUGGGGAUACAAUUAGAACAGAGUCCCUCCUUUCAAAGAGCUGCCGUUCUAAGGGGAGAGACCACAUACACGGAAACAUCCUCCUGCAACUCAGCUGGAAAGUUCUCUAA
rnacentral:lncRNA from 1 species